GACGAACGCUGGCGGCGUGCCUAACACAUGCUAGUUGAGCGACGAACCAGGGCUUGCCCUGGGGCAAAGCAGCGAACGGGUGAGUAACACGUGGGUAACCUACCCCGAUAACCGGGACAACCCGAGGAAACUCGGGCUAAUACCGGAUGUGCUCACUGGACUUCGGUUCAGUGCGUAAAGUAAGCUUCGGCCUCCGUAUCGGGAGGGGCCCGCGGCCCAUUAGUUUGUUGGUGAGGUAACGGCUCACCAAGACCGCGAUGGGUAGCUGGUCUGAGAGGACGACCAGCCACACUGGGACUGAGACACGGCCCAGACUCCUACGGGAGGCAGCAGUGGGGAAUCUUGCGCAAUGCGCGAAAGCGUGACGCAGCAACGCCGCGUGGGGGAAGAAGGCCUUCGGGUUGUAAACCCCUUUCAGGAGGGACGAAGGUUCGGCGGUGAAUAGCCGUCCGGACUGACGGUACCUCCACAAGAAGCCCCGGCUAACUACGUG
rnacentral:rRNA from 1 species